ensembl:misc_RNA Y_RNA Y RNA
GUCUGGUCUAAAUGCAGUGGUAUUUACAACUAAUUGAUUACAACCAGUUACGGAUUUCUUUGUUCCUUCUCCACUUCCACUGCUUUACUUGACUAGCCUUAG